UACGAAGGGGGCUAGCGUUGCUCGGAAUUACUGGGCGUAAAGGGCGCGUAGGCUGCCAUGCUAGUCAGGUGUGAAACCCCCGGGCUCAACCUGGGAACUGCACUUGAUACGGUAUGGCUUGAGGACGAGAGAGGGUGGUGGAACUCCCAGUGUAGAGGUGAAAUUCGUAGAUAUUGGGAAGAACACCAGUGGCGAAGGCGGCCACCUGGCUCGUUCCUGACGCUGAGGCGCGAAAGCGUGGGGAGCAAACAGG
rnacentral:rRNA from 1 species